UACGUAGGGUGCAAGCGUCGUCCGGAAUUAUUGGGCGUAAAGAGCUCGUAGGCGGUUUGUCGCGUCUGCUGUGAAAUCCCAGGGCUUAACCCUGGGCCUGCAGUGGGUACGGGCAAACUGGAGUGCGGUAGGGGAGAUCGGAAUUCCUGGUGUAGCGGUGGAAUGCGCAGAUAUCAGGAGGAACACCGAUGGCGAUGGCAGAUCUCUGGGCCGUAACUGACGCUGAGGAGCGAAAGCAUGGGGAGCGAACAGG
rnacentral:rRNA from 1 species